CGCCUGGACGGUAAAUGUUGUUUCGGGGUUUCUGGAACUUUUUUUCAAAUAAUUCCGUCCGUCACGUGCCCCUAUAAGUUACACGCAGGGUGUUGCAGCAGCAGUUCACAGUUUCCUAUAUGCAAUUCUAUAUAGGAGUUUAUCAAAUCCGGUAGAUACACAAUCUGUAUUUAUAUUUUGGUCGAUUUUACACGUACAGCCUCUUCCGACU